rnacentral:rRNA from 1 species
UACGUAGGGUGCAAGCGUUAAUCGGAAUUACUGGGCGUAAAGCGUGCGCAGGCGGUUGUGCAAGACCGAUGUGAAAUCCCCCGGGCUUAACCUGGGAAUGGCAUUGGUGACUGCACGGCUAGAGUGUGUCAGGAGGGGGGUAGAAUUCCACGUGUAGCAGUGAAAUGCGUAGAGAUGUGGAGGAAUACCGAUGGCGAAGGCAGCCCCCUGGGAUAACACUGACGCUCAUGCACGAAAGCGUGGGGAGCAAACAGG